AAUACCCGAACGGGACUGAAAUCUUUAAAUCCGAAAACCCGAAACCCGAUUAGAUCCGAACCAAACCCGAAUGGGUAUCCGAACGCCCACCCCUAGAUUUGUUUGCAAAUGUCAUAUAGGAUCUGUGGAGAUGCAUAAAUCAAAACCAAAGUUUUUAAAUGAAUCGGAUUCAUUAGGUCUAAAUACGAAACUAGAACUUGGAUAUCCAUUUUUAUUAUCUUAUAUAAAUGGUAGUAUAUAUUUUUAAAACUGGGUGAUUCAUCCGCGCCCUACGCAGGUAUGAAUGUUUACUAAGAAACUGAUGUACAAUUUUUGAGUAUUUUUUAUUAAUAUUUUUAUUUGUUUGUGUAUUUUUAUUUUAUUUUAAUUACAGUUUUUAUUUAUGAGUUAUUUUACUGCGGUCGUGUUUUAAAUUUUCAAAAUAUUAAAUUUGGCCAUAAUAUUUAUGUUUAUAAUUAUAUUGUGGUUUAAAUUUGGUAUAGUAAUAAUUUUCGUUUAUGUUACUAUUUAUGUUUGUAAUAUCAUAUUUUGACUAAUCUGUUUAAUUAUUUGCUUUUCUCUAAUUUUAGUUAAACCUACAAAUCAUUUAAUCUAUCUAUUAAUAUAAAGAAGACCCCAACUCUCUUCUCCUCUUGCCACGUAAGAAAAUAAGGCGAGGAGACGCCGACACGUGUCGUCUAUUUCAAUAUGGUCCGUAUACUUUUUUUUUGUACGGGCUUUUGAUUCGUUGGCAUGAUACUUCCUUCUGUCAAGCCCAUUCUGUGCUGUAUCAAUUUGGUAUUGAUGAACCGCCGCGUUUACUUUAGUGAAUCAGCGAUACGAAUGGGCUAUGAUUUAUGUGGGCUUUUGGCUUGGCAAAAGAAAUCCAGCUCGAUAACAAACAACCCUAACUCUCUAUUUACGCUUCGGAGUGAAAGAAAAAAUAGGGUUCAUGUCUCUCUUUGUUUUCAGCCGUUGGAGAUAUUGAGCUGAUUAAGUUAAGGUGAUGGAUCUGUUCGUAGGGUUUCGAUUGUGUCGUCUGAUCUUCUAUCACAUUUGCUGAAAAGCUCCCAGUUACAGAUUCAUCGCAUUAAACCUUUUCUUAACUCAAUCAACUACGAUUUGGCUUUGAAUGUGAGAUUCUCUUCUGCAAGGCAUGCGAGUAUAAAUAGGUUAUCUUAUCUCCUCUCAAAACCAUCUUCUCAAUCUUUCUAAGUAGCGAAGUAAGCUCAUUUUCCUAGCAAUGGCUAACUCCAAAGUUUUUCUCUCUAAUUUGAAGUCUGGUAGAUGUUCUUUUACUGUUGAGGUUAGAUUGCUGCAUUUCUGAGAGGCAGGCGCGUUGAAAAAUUCAUGUGGCUUGAUGUGCUCAUAGUAGAUGCCAAUGAUGAGAGUGAAGAUACAAGGACCUGCGUUUGCAGUUCAUGUUUCAAGACCAGCUGAAGUUGAACAUACAAGGAAGGAUCUUCCUAUAAUUAUGAUGGAGCAGGAGAUCAUGGAGGCUAUUAAUUAUCCCGCAACAGUUAUUAUUUCUUGAACCACUCAAGUUCCUCAGUUACUUUAUGAAGCUGGUUUUAGUUCAAAGCGAUUCAGUUCUCGAAGUUGGGUUAUCGGUAUUACACAGCCACGUUGUGUGGCUGUCCUCGCCACUGCCACGAGGGUGGCGCAUGAGCUUGGUGUUCGUCUCCGUCGAUUUGUUGUUUUUCAAGUUAGGCACGACAAAAAGAUUGGCAAGAACUCAGCUAUCAAGUUUAUGACCGCUGGAAUUCUACUCCGUGAGAUUAAGAAUGAUCUCUUACUGAGGUGUUACUCGGUGAUCAUUCUCGAUGAAGCUCAUGAAAGAAGCUUGAACACAGGCUUUCUACUUUGGAUGCUCACUCGAACCAACAACAUCCGACAGGAAGUCUACAAGGAUCAACAGAAGUUCUACAAUCUGGAGGCACAAUGGCAUCAGAAAACGAAAUCAUCUCGCCGCUUUUAACUUAUAUUGAAGUGUACAAUUUUACGAGUAGAAGAUUUUGUAUCUGGAAAAGGUUGUUUCCCUAAGCCACUUCUGGUAAUACAAGUUCCCACUCAACAAUACUAUGUAACUAUACAUUUCUCCAUGAGGACUGACGAGGUUAGUUUUA